GACGAACGCUGGCGGCGUGCUUAACACAUGCAAGUCGAACGAUGAAGCCGGAGCUUGCUCCGGUGGAUUAGUGGCGAACGGGUGAGUAGCACGUGAGCAAUCUGCCCUUGACUCUGGGAUAACUGCGGGGAACUGUAGCUAAUACCGGAUACGACACCUUGGGGCAUCCCAGGGUGUGGAAAGAAUUUCGGUCAAGGAUGAGCUCGCGGCCUAUCAGCUAGUUGGUGAGGUAAUGGCUCACCAAGGCGACGACGGGUAGCCGGCCUGAGAGGGUGACCGGCCACACUGGAACUGAGACACGGUCCAGACUCCUACGGGAGGCAGCAGUGGGGAAUAUUGCACAAUGGGCGAAAGCCUGAUGCAGCAACGCCGCGUGAGGGAUGAAGGCCUUCGGGUUGUAAACCUCUUUUAGCAGGGAAGAAGCGAAAGUGACGGUACCUGCAGAAAAAGCACCGGCUAACUACGUGCCAGCCGCCGCGGUAA
rnacentral:rRNA from 1 species